UUUUUCCCAACCCGACCCGGCAGUUACCUUCUCACCAUUUCUUUUUCCUGUUUUUUUUCCACAUUUCAAAUCUCCCACGUUUCAAAAGCUUAAACUAGACUACUCUCAACGGAUUAAACUGCUUUCAAGCUUAUACGCACACUAUUGAUGGUUGGUCAUGUCUGCCCAUGAUUUCAGGAGCCAUUUCCUCCACCGCUUUACUGUUAUGGAGUUGCCUGUGAGUCUCAAGCAAAUAAUUAUGUGGACGGUGGUAAGUAUCAAUCUUCGCCACGUGUGCUUUAUCGUGUGUAAUAUCUUUUGUUUGGCUUUCGAACUGGUUAGUCUUCUCAGUCGGAUUUUGCUGCGGUAUUAUUGAUCAUGGGAUGUCUUGAACUUUUGUCAAGAAGUGGUAUUAGCAUCAAGGGAAUGAAGGCAGUAGUGGUCGGUCAAAGUAACAUUGUUGGAUUACCAGUUUCACUUCUUAUUAUUCCCUAUUGCUUCUCAUCUUUUUUUUUUGUGGUGACGUUUUUCUGAUAAUUUCAAAUAUCUGAUUUUAACCUUUACGUGAUUCUGGUCGUGCUUUUGUUGGUUUUUGCUCUUUAAAUUUGAUAUGCAGGAUUUUAGUGAUGGUAAUACUUCUCACUUGGCACCCUAUAUUUGGCUUAAAUUUAUAAUACAGUAAAGUAUGGUUAUCAAUAGAGUGUCUAUUAAGUCUUUAAGUAUAUCUAUGUAUUAGGUGAGCCAAGUACAAAUCUGGCAAUGCUUUUGAUGCAUUUUGGCGUAAUAGAAUGGUUAAUAAGAUCUAUAAUAACGUAUCAACAACCCAUGAUAAUUGUGUUUUUUUAUCACUCUACUAUUAAGAAGUAGUUUCUGGAAGGCAUGUGAAUUCUCCUUUAUUUGCUAGGUAUCUAAGCUUCUGACAUUACCAUCUUGGUAUUAAAUGCUCUGAUUGUUUGAUUUCAGCAGAGACUUGAACUUGACGGAAACCAGUUGGUACAUAGUUUUUAUUGUCUUCCUAGAAUUAAUUUUUAAUAGGAAAUGAAGCUAUUUAUCAAUGUAGUAAAUUUGCUUUAGGUAAUUUAACUUAAUUUGUUACAGUUCAAAUUGGAUAUUUCUAAAAUUUUCAUCUUCAUAUAUAUGAAUUGUACAAGAAUGAACUACCGAAGUUAUCUUCUUUAAUUUGUGAUUUUUCAUGAGCAUAUAUAUAUUUUGCAUGAAUAACUAUAUGCAGCUACGUCCUUAUAUGUUUACCUUUGUUUAGAUUUUAUCAGAGGAUGCAGUUUUUAUAUGUUUGUUCUGCUUCUGUUUAGAGUUUAGUGUGUCCACAAACUAACAAACUUUUCUUAACAGUCUUUAAGAGGUCCCAAAGGUGGUAUGAUUUUCUUCAAAAAGGACCCUGUUCUUGGUGUUGAUUUAGGAUCUGCUAUCAACAAUGCGGUUUUCCCAGGGUGGUCCUCAUAACCACACAAUUGGGGACUUGCAGUCAGCCUGAAGUAAGCGCAGACUCCAGAAUUUAAGGCUUUCCAGAAGCAGGUGGUUUCUAACUGUAGAAGUCUUGCUUCUAAACUGAUUGGUCAAGGAUAUGAAUUGCUUCAACGUUUUCUCAUGGAAUUUGUACGUCUCUGGUAUCCAAAUUUGCGGAGAACUACUUCUGUUAGAUUGGUAAUCAACCAACCAGCUUGGUCUUCCUCUGAAAGUGAAGAUGAAAGAGAGAAUUUGAGUUUUCCGAGUGAAGAUUUCUGCUCAUCCAGUUCAGGCUGAUGUGUUCUUCAAGACAAGUGUUGAUAAUGUAUAGCCACACCAUAAUAUACUAGCUCAGAUUGUUGUGGACAGAAGUUCCUAGCAAAGGACGAUGCUAUGCUCCUGGACUCAAAUCUACUCGCUCAAUCAAUUCUGGAACUCCUUAGAUGAGCAAGAAUAAUGGUUUUCCAUUGCUUGAUUAUUCUCCUGCAGCCAGUAAAAGAGAUCAUCCAGAGUUCACUGACAAGAAAACAAUCCCCACUAUGUUUAGAAAGCUUGAUCGCAAAAAGUCUCCUAAUCAGAAAAUUGAAACUGCAACUCCAGUUUCUGUAGUUGUUUCAGAUGAUAUUAAAUUUAGGAAUGAAAAUUUGUGCAACCAAGAUGGGGAGGAGAUCAAUGGAGGAUGAAGGUUGACGGUCUACCGAUAAUGAAGUGAAAAGCCAUUUGCAGGUUCCAAGAAAAGGGUUACUUCUACUACUGCGUUCAAUAUUUAGUUAAAUCUGUUGUCUGUUGAUUCGCAAAGGUCAGGUAAUAUCAUAUUUACUAAAUACACAACCCUGUGUUGUAUCAGUAUAGAACCAUUUCUGUCCAUAUUAGUGUUAAUGUCUUUGCAGCAUGUACUGGUUUUUGGUCAAGAAAAGGUCCAUCACCCAAGUUUAUGUAUUAUUUGGUGUCUCACAAUUAUCAGGUGGAAAAUGCGUAUCCUAUAGUCUGAUGUCUCCUUCUUCCAUCAACGUUGAAAAAUAUGUAAGAGGAAAAAGAGGCAUUUAAGACAACCAUAUUCUCAUGGCAAAAUAAAAAGAAAAAAUACAACCAUAUUCUUGAUACUGCAGACGGUGUAACUUCAGGAUUGUGAGUCCGGGUACCUAAUUGAGGAUAAGCAGAAAAUUGACAGAAGCUUAAAAGAUGCUUCUUGAUCGUGGUCCUUGGUCCUUACUGCGUACAUUGAGUUAUCAGAAAUUUGGAAGUAAGGUUUACUUUUGUCAUUCUCUAUGACAAAGUUUUACUAUAGAGUUAGCAAAGCUGUUUUACCCUACACUGGUGGUAUGUUUAAUAGCUAUAAUAUUAAUUAGCAAUUUACUGUUUAGUUUGCACAAUGUUGUAUGUAUAGUAUUCUAAAUCAGAAAUUUUCCAA